rfam:Synergistes jonesii strain 78-1 contig_31, whole genome shotgun sequence.
ACAUUUAUAAAAUAAGAGGAUAUAUUCGAUUUAAUAGAACAAGCGGCGCGAAAGCAAGGGAAUUUGGUUAAAAACCAAAGCGGCCCCGCCACUGUAGCCACGACGAAAUCGCGAUAUCACUGGACGGCCUCUGGGAAGAUGCGAUAGUAGGAUGAAUGGGAGCCAGGAGACCUGUUCGCGCUGCCGGGGGAAU